UGGACCCCAGAAUCUCCCCCACUUCCCGCGAUGGUCCUUCCGGACCCGAGCCCCACCCCCCUGUCUCCUCCCGGCCUGAGCAGCCAAUCGCGACUCUGCGCGCGACCUGCUCUGCCCAGUCAGGGGAAGCCGUCUCGCGCUAGGGAGGCGGGUCUGUUCUCGCCGGCUCUCGCCCUUUCUUGCGCUCUCUACGUCCUCGUGGAGGCACGACGGACCAAUGGGAGAGUCGCUGCGCCGAGGCGGACAGCGACGCUGACCAAUGGAGACACAGGAGGGUGGGUCAGCCGGUCAAGUUUGACUUUGAACAGAAGGAAUGACAGGCGAGGCGGGGCUUCGGGGUCAGUGGGACCUGUGGAUGGGGUGCGGGGACGUAGCGGGGCUCAGGCUCUUCGCCCCCGGAUAUCCCUAGCCAUCCUGUGUGUUAUUUUCACCAUUCUUACGUGCUGCCUUUUAAACACUUUGAGCUCCAAGGGGAGUGGGCUUGGGUUAAAAUCCCACCUCUGCUCCUUAGUGUUGUUCAAUGACCCUGGGGAAGUCACUGAGGGUCUCUGAUCCCCGAUCUCAUCAUUUCUAAAACGAGCCCACGCUGUCCUGUAGCCAUAAGCCAGUGAGAGAAAGCAUAUUCUUUAUACUUUAUUUAUUUAAAGUACUUUAUAGCCCCUCAUCGAGGGACAGAGCCAUGUCAGCCAGUGUUGCUAUCCUAGCAGACAGCCAGCAUGUUUAUGGAGCUUUCAAGUUUGCAGAGAAUUUUAUGAUUUAGGUCCCAGUAAAGGGAGAGAAUAUUAGUUAUGAUCCCCACUUUGUAUAUGAGGAAACUGAGGCAGAAAUGGUUCACUCAGGGUCACACAGCUGGACCUCCAGAAGAACAACUUCAGAUUCUCUCAGGAGUCUAAGUCCCUGUGGAGCCAGGGAGAAGGUCCAGUAGAAUUCCUCACCACCAAGACAAAAAAAUAGUUUCUGCUGAGUGUCAGAUGGCCAGGCAGGGCUUUAUGGCCUCCAGCAUUCCACAUUCUGAGGAUUCUUUGGGUUCUGACCCUCCUAGCUAGAGACCUGGUUCAUCUGUGGGUCAGUAAGCUAGUCAGUUGUUGUAGAGCCACACAAAGCCUGUGAGCAUGUGAAAGCCUCAUAGUCUCCCCCAGAGGUUAGCCUCCCCACCUGGCUUUGGGGCAUCCUCACACUGGCAGAGAAUGCUGGCUGGGCACUGAUCCCGAUGUUUAAUGGAACCCAGAUCCCUGGCCCCACUGAAGACCCUUCAGAGGGACAUUAAACCAUGAAUGACUUCAGCCACCCCGUUGUUCUUUUUCUGCUGAGUGGCCUCUACUUCGUAGGAGACACUUUGGGGAACAUUCUUCUCUGGCCCUACAUUCGUUGUCCUCCCAUCCUCCACAGGCUUUCACAGACCAUCUAGCCGUUUCAGUUCUGGAAUUUUCCUGGGAAGCUGUCAAGGCCAUGAACUGAACUCUUCAAGGAGCAGCCCUGUGAGCUCUUAUUGGCUCUGAAUUACUUGGGGAAUCUUCUCCAUGUUAGCUGUUUGUGUCCUGACCCUUCCAGUCCAAAGAUCAAUCUCUCUGGCAGGACAAACAGAAGCAGAAUGAAGGCUGAUCAGCUCUUUUGUUUAGGCUCCUCAGCAGGCUCUCUGGCUUCGAGCAAUGCUCUUUGCCUUUUUUCAUCCUCCUUUUUCCCCCAAUAUGGAUUUCUAAAACUCUUUUUGUUGUCCUUAGCAUUCCUCCUAAGCUUCACAUUCUUCUGAGGGUUUGUGUUCCUGAGACUAUCUUUAUAGGCUUCUGCCAUGGUUGGCCUCCAUCUUCUGGCCCUAUCUUUUUAGUGUGUUCACAUACACAUCCCUUUGGCUGCCCCCUUCUUGUUUCCCUUGGCCUCACAGCCUCACAGGCCCCCCCGGAGCUGAAAGAGGCCUCAAGGCCCCCCUGAUUCCUCGGAUAUUUGAACAAGUACCUUCCCUUUUCACAAUGUGGUAGCCCCAGCUGAUAGGUCAGAUGGAAGAAGAAGCUUCUUAACGUGUACCCACUGUGCCUAAUUCUGCCCCCUGGAGAUGAGGGGGAGUCUCUUUCUUUGUGACAUAUUCCAUCUUGUUCCUGCAGAUAGCUUCUCUUUAAGUGAAACGUUCCCACUUCCUUCAGCUAGACUGCAUAUGGGAUGAUGUCAGGGCUGCUAUCUUCUUUGGGUCACCCUUUAGCUUCUCAGGGUCUUUCUCAAAGGGCUGUCUCAAGGAUGGAGACAGGUCUGACAGGGCCUGACCCUUCCUAGACCUUGGGCCCUCUUAAUGCCUGCUGAGAUUGUAUAUCAGCAGAAGCAUCGAGGUGGCUCAGUGGAUAGGGCACCAGGCCUAGAGGUGGGAGGUCCUGAGUUCAAAUGAGGCCUCAGACACUUCCUAGCUGUGUGACCCUGGGCCAGUCCCUUAACCCCCAUUGCCUAGCCCUCACCACUUUUCUGAACCAACAGAACCAACACAAAGUAUAGAUUCUAGGAGAGAAGGUAAAGGGGGUAGGGUGGGGAUAAAAAAGAAAGCAUGUAUAUUGCCAUACCAUUAUUCACCUGCUUUACUCUGUCUCCAAAAUGUUAUUUGGGCAGACCUCGCCUAUAGGAAGGGACUUUGGAGCUGGUAGGGUGAACCUUUGAAACGUGUUUUCAUGUGUAAAAAUGGAGAUUUGAACUCUGGACUUCAAUUCCCAGGAGUCCUUGGUAGCUCCCAGAGUUCCCCAUAAUCUCAGGUGAGGUCAUCACCUGGGCUGCGAGGAGAGAGGGGUUUUUUAAAUGCACUCCGCCUUCUUCUUGCUCUCUUCCUACUUCCGCUUCCAAGCAGAUGUGUCUCUCAUGAUGUAAGUGAAAUUGAAUGGGCCUUUCGGCUCUCCUAGGCUCGUGCUUUCUUACUUGUAUUUUCUUAAAUUCUUAAUCUUUAAAUAACCUCAUAAAAUAUGCUACAGUUUGGCAUAACCACUUUGGGAAAACGAAAUACCCUCAAUCUUCUGAUCUACUGUAACUAAGUUCAGCCUUUAAUAGCUAGUGCCUAGUUUUGUUUGUUGUUUCUCCAAGAUGCUUUUUUAGAAAACCAUCUUGAUCAGCUCUGGCCUGGAGCCAUCUGCUUCGGACUUUCUUGAUUCAAUAUAGUUCACCUGCCCACCCUUUCUAACCCUCCCCCCCCCUGCAAACUCUAGCCUUGGAGCAGACCGCUCAUCGCCCCAGGCCCAGGACUCAUUUCUAUCAGUUGGUAAAAAACUGGGGUAAUUUUCCCUUAGGCUAUGAUUAGCCUCCACCUGGACUGGGGGCAGGGGAUUGAAGGAGGGGAGAAAGAAAGGGAAAGAAGGAAGAGACUUUUCCAAACAGGAACUUACAAGCAUGACUACUUUAAAAGGAUAUCUUUUAACUAUAUUGAUGAUUUCAUUUACUUCACAUGAGAUUCAGGAAAAAAAUUCAGCUCUCUGCAACUCUUUAGCUAACUUUGGGGAGGCAGCUGGGUAUGUCAAUGAAUUGAGAGCCAGGCCUAGAGAAGGGAGGUCCUCAGUUGGAAUCUGGCCUCAGAUACUUCCCAGCUGUGUGGCCCUGGAUGAGUCCCUUAAACCCCAUUGCUUAACUAUUACCAAUCUGCCUUCUGACAGUAGGCAUCUAAAUGGAAAAAAAAAACAAAACAAAACAACCCAAGAAACUUUAAAGAGACUGGAGGUUAUGUUUUUAAGGCAUUUCAGACUCCAAUGUUUUAUAAAAAUCUCCAUAUUCUAUUGCAUUUACUGAUUGCUUUGUUUAAGAUUUAACUUUGUGAUUUUAAGAUCAUAUAUUACUGCAUUCAAUACUAUUCUGUUACACUGAAUCAUUUUAAUGUACUGAGUUUUAACUACUGUUAUAUUCUGUUGCUUUCCCCCUAUAACCAUACUGAAUGAACAAACAUUGAGUAAGCCCAUAUUAAAAAAAAAACAACAGCUUUUAUAUUUUUGACUUUAGAUGGACUCCAUCAGAAAAUGGCUACAAUUGUAUAACAACCUUUGGAAAAUUUAAUGAGCUAAUUAUCUCAAAUCAAUUUUAAGGGUUCUUUACACAUGAUUUUUAGAAUUUUCUUAACAAUUUUUGGUCAUUUUGCCUGCCCCUAACACGAGGUAAGGCCCAUUUUAACAGAUGAAGUGAAAUACAUUUUAUAACCCCCCCACCUGCAUUAAAAAAAAAUGUGAUGGAAGCUGGGCAGUUAAUCCCAGGGCAUGUACCCCUAGAAGCCUCCCAAAAGAAAAAAAAAACGGGAGCAUCUCUCAUUUAUACUCUUCAGCUCACUACUUAACUUCCACCAGAAUGAUCUCUAGAUUUCUUGAUGAUGUUCUAAACCCCAAAAUGAGUUUUACUUUGUUUAAAAAUAUAUUCACCAAGGUUGAAAGAUUUCAAUGAUUGUAAAAAUUGUGACAAAUAUCCAUCAAUUCAUAGGCUUUAAAAAAAUGCCAUACAGCAACUUAAUGUGAAAUAUGAUAGUGUGUUUGUUUGCUAUUGUAAUUAAUUGGGCUAUUGAGAAUUUGGGGGAUACUGAUUCCUACAUAUUUGUACUACUGUUUUUUAAAAAUGAAAAAUGUUACCUUGUUCAAUUUAUUUGCUUGCACUCACAGUGGAUCAUGGCCAGAUAUGAAGAAGAAAUGGAUCUUAUUUUUGGACAAGAUAUACACAAAAGAGCCAUUGCACAGGGCCAAAGAUAAACCAAUCCAGGACCGAUUGAUGCACUUCCAAGCCAAUUCAAAGGUCUUGAACCUAGUGUGAAGACUCAGGGUUGCUGAUGUUUAACAUUUGUUACAACAUAGGCCUUCCUUGUGUCCACACUCACUCUGAAAAUACAGAUGAGUAUCCCCAAACCUUGGCUCCUACUUGGCUCCUAUAAUCUGGUCCCUUUUCUGUCUUUCAUAGAAUGGUACCUUUCUGUGGUCCUGGCUACUGACUGGGUAAUGCAUCAUUGCUUAGAUCAUUUUAACUGGGCCCUGAUUCAAGGACCUGUUAUAGAUUUAUUUUUCUUUUACUUGGAAUUUUACACAUAAGACUUUGAUAGUCUAUAUUUUCAUCCAGUAAUUUUCUUUUUUCUUUGGAUUUUUCUGAUGUCUUUUUAAUUCCUCUUGCCAAUAGAUUCAUAUACCUCAUAACUCAGCCAUGCAUCCUUAAGUGAUCCUGUGUUUUUCAAUCACCCUUUUAACGGGGAAAUGUAAAAAAAAUUAUUAUUUUAAAUUGCAAAGUUUAAAUUCCUUUUAAGAAGAAUUUUAGGUAAAGAAAGAUGCUACCUCUCCGAAUCCAGAAACUGAACUGUUUGGAGAAGACACCAUGAAGAAGCCUCCAGACCACAAGCUGCAUGAGAAGAUCAAAAAUGAACUUUGGGUGUUGUUGAGUGAACAUUUAUUUGUAUCUAUACUUUCAUGCCAAAGAGGGCUGCCCCCUAACUGGCUUUUUGUCAAUGCAUUCAGCAAUUAUUGUUUUUUUUCCCUCUUAUCCUCAAAUUAUUGUAAUCUUUAAGUUGAUUAUGUUUUCAUGAUCCUCUGGGAAAAACCUUUUUCCCUGAGGAUCAAACAGGAAUGUAAAAAUGGAGAUUUGAACUCUGGACUUCAAUUCCCAGGAGUCCUUGGUAGCUCCCAGAGUUCCCCAUAAUCUCAGGUGAGGUCAUCACCUGGGCUGCGAGGAGAGAGGGGUUUUUUAAAUGCACUCCGCCUUCUUCUUGCUCUCUUCCUACUUCCGCUUCCAAGCAGAUGUGUCUCUCAUGAUGUAAGUGAAAUUGAAUGGGCCUUUCGGCUCUCCUAGGCUCGUGCUUUCUUACUUGUAUUUUCUUAAAUUCUUAAUCUUUAAAUAACCUCAUAAAAUAUGCUACACAUGCCAUCUA